rnacentral:tRNA from 1 species
UCCCCGGUGGCUCAGAUGGUAAAGCGUCUGCCUACAAUGCAGGAGACCCAGGUUAGAUCCCUGGGUCAGGAA